UACGAAGGGGGCUAGCGUUGCUCGGAAUCACUGGGCGUAAAGCGCACGUAGGCGGAUUGUUAAGUCAGGGGUGAAAUCCUGGAGCUCAACUCCAGAACUGCCUUUGAUACUGGCGAUCUUGAGUCCGGGAGAGGUGAGUGGAACUGCGAGUGUAGAGGUGAAAUUCGUAGAUAUUCGCAAGAACACCAGCGGCGAAGGCGGCUCACUGGCCCGAUACUGACGCUGAGGCACGAAAGCGUGGGGAGCAAACAGG
rnacentral:rRNA from 1 species